rnacentral:ncRNA from 1 species
CUCUUAUCAAGAGAGGUGGAGGGAAAGGGCCCGAUGAAACCCGGCAACCGAUGCAUGUGCAUUAUGGUGCCAAUUCCUGCAGUGAUACUGCGAGAUAAGAG